UGUGCACAUUGUUAGAGCUUGGAGUUGAGGCCAUUGAUUGGCUGAUGAACUCUCAAGUGUAGGUAGUGUGCUACAUGAGGGGCAAGUUUUUCGCUAACACUCCAUUCUGACUCUGUGAGUGGAGUUUGAUAGUAAUCCUUGCUACAAGU
rnacentral:snoRNA from 1 species